UCCCCAGUAGCUCAGAUGGUAAAGCAUCUGCCUGCAAUGCAGGAGAUCUGGGUUCGAUCCCUGGCUUGGGAA
rnacentral:tRNA from 1 species